CGGGGCGUAGCGCAGUCUGGUAGCGCACUUGACUGGGGGUCAAGGGGUCGGAGGUUCGAAUCCUCUCGCCCCGA
rnacentral:tRNA from 1 species